UCUUGGAACUUUUGAAAUAGAAGACAAAAGCAAAAAGCGCGAAAGCGUUGAAUCUAGUGAAAAAUCAAGUUCUGGGACUCAAUCCAAAAGCAAGAAAGGUAAAAGUAUGAAAACCAUUUACCUUUAUAAAGCACAAAUUCCAGAAGGAAAAAACAAAGGUGAUAAUGCCAUCUUAAUUACUAACCAAACUGUUAUUGAUAAACUAGAAAAAGCUGCUAAAGAAGACGGUAAAAGUGGAACUCAAGUUUCAACUAUUGCAAGUAAAUCAACAACUAAAGAGAACCAAGAAAACAAAAUAAUUGGUUACACAUCGACUGAUAACCUUCGUGAAGACAAUAAGAACAUUUUCGAUAUCGAUGAUCUUAACGAUGAAAAAUAUGACCGUAAGAUUAUUGUUAGUGCUACUGAAGAAGUAUUGGAACAAUCUAACACUUUACAGAGUGAAGAAGCAGUUGUUCUACCGGCACCUGCUAAAUAUAAAGCUAGUGAUUCCACAAAAAUAGCAAUCACCCAAGAACCUAACCUAAUUGGUAUCCAUGCUAACGAAAAGGAAAAUGAGGAAACACGUAAGUUUGUUAAUUGGUUUUUAAACAGUGAGCAAACUUGGGAAUCCAAGAAAUACAGUAAAAAUAAGCAAAACUCCAACGAAAAGAGAACUCCUGCACAAUUCUUUGCUGAUUCCGCGUCUUACAUUCUACCCUUAAAGAAAACCUUCGAUAAUGCCAACAAAAAAGAAGAUCAAAGUAAGGCCAAUAACAAGACUAAUAGCCAAAGAACUAACACCUAUAUCGAAAAGGCAUUAGAAAUUUUUAAAGGAAUUAGCCAAAACCAAAUAACAAGUUACAGUGAUCCAAGCGACUUUAGAAGUGGUCGCUUCCGCGAUGGUAUUGGUUCUAACU
rnacentral:sRNA from 1 species